rnacentral:rRNA from 1 species
ACUUCUGGGUGCGACCGCGGUCCAAGUCCUUUGGAAUGGGGCGUCGUAGAGGGUGACAAUCCCGUAUGCGGCCGAUGGUCUAUCCCGCGCGAAGUCCUUUCGACGAGUCGAGUUGUUUGGGAAUGCAGCUCUAAAUGGGUGGUAAACUUCAUCUAAAGCUAAAUAUCGGCCGGAGACCGAUAGUGGACAAGUAGCGUGAGCGAACGAUGAAAAGAACUUUGAAAAGAGAGUCAAACAGUACGUGAAAUUGUUGAAAGGGAAGCGCUUGCAACCAGACUCGCGCGCGGGGUUCAGCCGCUCCUCGGGGCGGUGUACUCCCCGCGCGCGGGCCAGCAUCAGUUCGGGCGGUCGGAGAAAGACCCGGGGAACGUAACUCUCUUCGGGGAGUGUUAUAGCCUCGGGUGUCAUGCGGCCAGCCCGGACUGAGGAUCGCGCAUCGCUAGGAUGCUGGCGUAAUGGUUGCCAGCGACCCGUCUUGAAACACGGACCAGUAAGUCACAGCCCCUCCCCCUCCCGUCCCCAGGUAGCUUCAGUAACUAAUUGUUUGAACAGAGGAGUCGACCAAUCGGGCGAGUAUUUGGGCGUAAAACCCAGAUGCGCAAUGAAAGUGAACGAGGUGAGAGCCUUCGGGUGCAUCAUCGACCGAUCUUGAUGUCUUCGGAUGGAUUUGAGUACGAGCCCGGUUGGCCGGACCCGAAAGAUAGUGAGCUUUGCGUGAAUAGGGUGAAGCCAGAGGAAACUCUGGUGGAGGCUCGCAGCGGUUCUGACGUGCAAAUCGAUCGUCAAAUUUGCGCAAAGGGGCGAAAGACUAAUCGAACUAUCUAGUAGCUGGUUCCUGCCGAAGUUUCCCUCAGGAUAGCAGCAACGGGGCAUAGUCUCAUGAGGUAGAGCAACGAUUAGAGGCCUGGGGGACGCAAUGUCCUUCACCUAUUCUCGAACUUCGAAUAUGUGAGAAGUCCUUGUUACUUAGU